AAUUUUUUGUUUUCUCUCAGCAUUAACUUCUGUUCUAUUAUAAUGUAGACGUGAUGAUUUCCUAUUACCGCCCCAGUCUGAUGUUAAGCUGACUGAUUGGUUUCCGAACUGAUCUAUACGCCAGAGCAGUGUUUCACAAUCCUGGUUCUGGGGACCUAUAUGUAAAGCUUUGUUUAGACGACAGCUCAAUUCUGAUCUUUCACUAAUUAGUGUUGCGUAUUCAGAUCAGGAAGGUCUGAAAAGAUUUGUGAUUGGUCCUACGACCAGUGGCCGUGCCAUCCCGGGAUAUACGGUAUUACCGGAAGUUCACACAAGGCUCUAUUUAUGAAAUGGGAAAAAUAAUGCUCAAGCAUCACUAACGUGAACGUCUGCUGCAUGGCCAAAACAAAUAUUAGCAACCAAUGCUUGUUCCAGGAGGGAAUUUCUCUGCUGUUACCAAGGGACGCUUGAUUUUGGAAGAAGCUAACCACUUAGCUAGAUGGUUAACUAACUACUAAGUUAGCAAACCAAAUGUACAACUGCUGAACCUUUAUCAUUUACAUAAGUUAUAAGCCAUCUAGCUGGCAAACAUUUAGUUGUGAAUUCCAUACUGUAGUUAGUUCACCUGGCACAACAGUAAGUGACUCACAAUGCUCUGGUCUCAUUGUUGUACUUGUAAACAAACACCGUGGCCUACUACUAUGUAAAUGACAUGUGACAGGUGAAAUUAGGUUUUAUUUAUCCUAAUGUAUUGCUGAAGUUGACUGCAGGUAUUUACUUAAGUAGCUACACAUAUUAAAAUGAGUAACUUCAAAUAAUUAAUUAGAACAGUAUUUGAAAAACCCUCCUGUCGUUUUCAACUCCCCCAGUAUACGGUAUACCCACCCAAGACCAGUUCUAGGGCAAAAACAAAUGUUCACCGCUUUGGGUCCCCAGGGUUAGAAUUCCACUGCUGUAGACUGAUCCCAUGUCUGGCUACUAGUUCGUUAAAUGUCACUUCAUGCUCUCCUACUUUGUCCCUCUAGUGUUCUGCCCCCCCCACCUGGUUGAGGUCCUAGUGUCUGCAGUCUAUGGAAAGCUCGUUGGCUGUUGAAGUGUUGCUGUCCUGGUGGAGUGGGAAGUGCUCGUGUGGAACACCGGCUCGCACUCCUGUUUGGGCAGCAAGGAAGUGGGACAGUCUCGUUGGAACUGGGAAAACCAAGCCAAGUCAAUUCAACCCCUGACUGUGUGUUUUGCUGAAUAAAUAAAUCUACAAAUGUGA